rnacentral:rRNA from 1 species
UACGGGGGGAGCAAGCGUUGUUCGGAUUUACUGGGCGUAAAGGGCGCGUAGGCGGUAGCACAAGUCAGUUGUGAAAUCUCCGGGCUUAACUCGGAAAGGUCAACUGAUACUGUGCGACUAGAGUGCAGAAGGGGCAACUGGAAUUCUCGGUGUAGCGGUGAAAUGCGUAGAUAUCUGGAGGAAUACCGGUGGCGAAGGCGGCAUCCUGGACCGGCAUUGACGCUGAGGAGCGAAAGCCAGGGGAGCAAACGGG